CCUACGGGCGGCUGCAGUGGGGAAUAUUGGACAAUGGGCGAAAGCCUGAUCCAGCCAUGCCGCGUGUGUGAAGAAGGCCUUCGGGUUGUAAAGCACUUUCAGUGGGGAAGAAAGCCUUGGGGCUAAUACCCUCGAGGAAGGACAUCACCCACAGAAGAAGCACCGGCUAACUCCGUGCCAGCAGCCGCGGUAAUACGGAGGGUGCGAGCGUUAAUCGGAAUUACUGGGCGUAAAGCGCGCGUAGGCGGUCUGAUAAGCCGGUUGUGAAAGCCCCGGGCUCAACCUGGGAACGGCAUCCGGAACUGUCAGGCUAGAGUGCAGGAGAGGAAGGUAGAAUUCCCGGUGUAGCGGUGAAAUGCGUAGAGAUCGGGAGGAAUACCAGUGGCGAAGGCGACCUUCUGGACUGACACUGACGCUGAGGUGCGAAAGCGUGGGUAGCAAACAGGAUUAGAUACCCUAGUAGUC
rnacentral:rRNA from 1 species